AUUGAACGCUGGCGGCAUGCCUUACGCAUGCAAGUCGAACGGCAGCAUGGAAGAGCUUGCUCUUCUGAUGGCGAGUGGCGAACGGGUGAGUAAAGCAUCGGAACGUACCGUGUAGUGGGGGAUAACGUAGCGAAAGUUACGCUAAUACCGCAUACGCACUGAGGUGGAAAGCAGGGGAUCGCAAGACCUUGCGCUAUACGAGCGGCCGAUGUCAGAUUAGCUAGUUGGUGGGGUAAAGGCCCACCAAGGCGACGAUCUGUAGCUGGUCUGAGAGGAUGAUCAGCCACACUGGAACUGAGACACGGUCCAGACUCCUACGGGAGGCAGCAGUGAGGAAUAUUGGUCAAUGGGCGCAAGCCUGAACCAGCGACGCCGCGUGGGGGAUGAAGGGGCGUUUGCCUCGUAAACCUCUGUCGGAUGGGACGAAAGGUGGCUUUGAGCCACUGGGACGGUACCAUCAAAGGAAGGAUCGGCUAACUACG
rnacentral:rRNA from 1 species